ensembl:lncRNA
AGAAUUUUGGAGAGAAAUGAGGAGGUGGAGCAGAAUUAGUCUAUUGGUGUUUAAAACAACGAACAACAUGAACGAAAAAAUUCCUCACUGUGUAGAGCUGUGAGGCCCAAUAACGCUACAAUAAUAACAAUAACAAUUACUGCAAGACUAGCUUCAGUCUAUGUAUUUGAAAGUUUGUAUGGCUGAGAUAUCCCAAAAUGUUACUUUUAAAGGUCAAAUUACUUAAUGGGAAAAUGUUAUCUUUACCAAAAAAUGAACAUGUUCACACCUUCCUCAACUGAAGGCAUAAUAUAUGCUCAUUAUUGGGGAAAAAAUUGACACGUUUAUUACUCAGGAGCUUUCUCCUAAACUAUAAUCAGUGGCUCUGAGAAUUCAUCAACUGAGUCACUGCAUUGUUACAUGAAUGCUGUAACGGUAAGUCGCCACAUUUCCUGUCUCCCGUAAAUCAUGUGUGAGCCUGCUCUGUAGCCCCAAUUAUGGAGAAAUAAUUCUUUUUUUUUUUUUCUUUUUUUUUUUUUUAAAUGACAUCAGAAACAGCAGUAUGCGACAUUACGUGAUGGCAGAGCUUCAGUUCAUCCUUUGUCAUUUUUUUUUUUUUUUUUUUUUUUUUAUAAAUAGGACAGGGGGAAUGAAUGAGAGAAAGAGGGGGAGAGAAAGAAAGAAAACCAAAGGGGAGAAGAGACUGUGAGAAGGGGGGGAAGAGAGAGAGAAAAAAAAAAAAAAAGAACUCCUGGGUUACCUGUAUGGAGAAAAAAAACAAACAAACAAAAAAAACAAACAGAGGAGACAGCAAACAACAAAGAGCAACAUAAUAAUAGAGAAAACAAAGCACCAUCACAAUAAACUAGCUAGUCAUAGAUAUCAAUAUUUACUAAAUAAUAAACGAUAUUGUGCAGCACGCAAGAUAGACAGCGCACAGUGUGCUUUGAGCGCAUGCAUGUCUUAAAGCCAAGAAAGCUUUAGUCCGCGUCUGUGAAUACCCAUGUGUGCAUACCUGUGUGGAUCAGCAUGCUUGCAUUCCAAAGGUUUCUCCAUGUAAUGAUCUGCUAGGGAGUGUGGGGGGGCCACAGCCCCGUCCUCCAGGGUGUGAAGCGGGUAUGGAGGAGAUCAAAACUCCAGACAUCCAGAGGCCCCCAGAACACAAGAGACCAAGGAAGACCAACAGAGGGGCAGCCGCGCCACUGUCCCAGAAAGAGCUGAGGAGAGUCCCAGAUGAGGGCUCACUCAGCAGCCGCGGAGCAGAAGCCAGGGGGAGUUGCAGUGACGCGCCCGUGAGCUCCGCCGGCAGCCAGCCGUGCCUGAGUGACCGAGCCCCAGGCCGAGAGGCCGGGGGCACCCCACCUCCGAAGUGGCCCGAGCGAGCCCCAGGCUCCAGGCCCCGAUAAGCGGCCGCCAAGGAGUGAGCCGGUGUGUACCUGGACGCCCAUCCCCAGACACAAAG